AGCAUUCUAUUUUCUACAAAGAUUUGUUCGGCAGGUAGCAUGCUCAGCCUGGAAAUCAAAGACCUAUAUAACCUGGCUCCAAAUGUGCUUUACAAACAAUUCCAACAAGUCACCUCAGGGGUCAUUCUUCUCUCAUUCUUGCUCCUUCCUGUUCCUGAAUGAUUUUCUCCUCUUUCUUGAUUAUUUGAAUUUCAUACUGACUUGAAUAUCCAAGUACAAUCUUACUUAAUCUGUG
rnacentral:lncRNA from 1 species